GACGAACGCUGGCGGCGUGCCUAACACAUGCAAGUCGAGCGGGAAUCUACAAAAUGAAGCUUCGGCAGAUUUUUGUAGAGGAUAGCGGCGGACGGGUGAGUAACGCGUGAGUAACCUGCCCCUUAAGAGGGGGAUAACACACCGAAAGGUGUGCUAAUACCGCAUAACAUAUGUUUACCGCAUGAUAGACAUAUCAAAGAUUUAUCGCUUAAGGAUGGACUCGCGUCUGAUUAGAUAGUUGGUGAGGUAACGGCUCACCAAGUCGACGAUCAGUAGCCGAACUGAGAGGUUGAUCGGCCACAUUGGGACUGAGACACGGCCCAGACUCCUACGGGAGGCAGCAGUGGGGAAUAUUGCGCAAUGGGGGGAAACCCUGACGCAGCAACGCCGCGUNAAGGAUGAAGGUCUUCGGAUUGUAAACUUCUGUCUUAUGG
rnacentral:rRNA from 1 species